GAUGAACGCUCGCGGGAGGCCUAACACAUGCAAGCCGAGCGGUAUUGUUUCUUCGGAAAUGAGAGAGCGGCGUACGGGUGCGUAACACGUGUGCAACCUGCCUUUAUCUGGGGGAUAGCCUUUCGAAAGGAAGAUUAAUACUCCAUAAUAUAUUGGACGGCAUCGUUUAAUAUUGAAAGCUCCGGCGGAUAGAGAUGGGCACGCGCAAGAUUAGCUAGUUGGUGAGGUAACGGCUCACCAAGGCGAUGAUCUUUAGGGGGCCUGAGAGGGUGAUCCCCCACACUGGUACUGAGACACGGACCAGACUCCUACGGGAGGCAGCAGUGAGGAAUAUUGGUCAAUGGGUGCAAGCCUGAACCAGCCAUCCCGCGUGAAGGACGACUGCCCUAUGGGUUGUAAACUUCUUUUGUAUAGGGAUAAACCUACCCUCGAGAGGGUAGCUGAAGGUACUAUACGAAUAAGCACCGGCUAACUCCGUG
rnacentral:rRNA from 1 species